AAGUGGUAGGAGAGCGUUCUAUUUGCGUCGAAGGUAUACCGGUAAGGAGUGCUGGAGCGAAUAGAAGUGAGCAUGCAGGCAUGAGUAGCGAUAAUUAAUGUGAGAAUCAUUAACGCCGUAAACCCAAGGUUUCCUACGCGAUGCUCGUCAUCGUAGGGUUAGUCGGGUCCUAAGUCGAGUCCGAAAGGGGUAGACGAUGGCAAAUUGGUUAAUAUUCCAAUACCAACAUUAGUGUGCGAUGGAAGGACGCUUAGGGCUAAGGGGGCUAGUGGAUGGAAGUGCUAGUCUAAGGUCGUAGGAGGUUAUACAGGCAAAUCCGUAUAACAAUACUCCGAGAACUGAAAGGCUUUUUGAAGUCUUCGGAUGGAUAGAAGAACCCCUGAUGCCGUCGAGCCAAGAAAAGUUUCUAAGUUUAGCUAAUGUUGCCCGUACCGUAAACCGACACAGGUGGGUGGGAUGAGUAUUCUAAGGCGCGUGGAAGAACUCUCUUUAAGGAACUCUGCAAAAUAGCACCGUAUCUUCGGUAUAAGGUGUGGUUCGCUUCGUAUUAGGAUUUACUCCGAAAGCGAAGAAACUUACAACAAAGAGUCCCUCCCGACUGUUUACCAAAAACACAGCACUCUGCUAACUCGUAAGAGGAUGUAUAGGGUGUGACGCCUGCCCGGUGCUCGAAGGUUAAUUGAUGGGGUUAGCAUUAGCGAAGCUCUUGAUCGAAGCCCGAGUAAACGGCGGCCGUAACUAUAACGGUCCUAAGGUAGCGAAAUUCCUUGUCGGUUAAAUACCGACCUGCAUGAAUGGCGUAACGAGAUGGGAGCUGUCUCAAAGAGGGAUCCAGUGAAAUUGUAGUGGAGGUGAAAAUUCCUCCUACCCGCGGCAAGACGGAGAGACCCCGUGGACCUUUACUACAGCUUGACACUGCUACUUGGAUAAGAAUGUGCAGGAUAGGUGGGAGGCUUUGAGUAUAUGACGCCAGUUGUAUAUGAGCCAUUGUUGAGAUACCACUCUUUCUUAUUUGGGUAGCUAACCAGCUUGAGUUAUCCUCAAGUGGGACAAUGUCUGGUGGGUAGUUUGACUGGGGCGGUCGCCUCCCAAAUAAUAACGGAGGCUUACAAAGGUUGGCUCAGAACGGUUGGAAAUCGUUCGUAGAGUAUAAAGGUAUAAGCCAGCUUAACUGCAAGACAUACAAGUCAAGCAGAGACGAAAGUCGGUCUUAGUGAUCCGGUGGUUCUGUGUGGAAGGGCCAUCGCUCAAAGGAUAAAAGGUACCCCGGGGAUAACAGGCUGAUCUCCCCCAAGAGCUCACAUCGACGGGGAGGUUUGGCACCUCGAUGUCGGCUCAUCGCAUCCUGGGGCUGGAGCAGGUCCCAAGGGUAUGGCUGUUCGCCAUUUAAAGCGGUACGCGAGCUGGGUUCAGAACGUCGUGAGACAGUUCGGUCCCUAUCUGCCGUGGGCGUAAGAAGAUUGAAGAGAUUUGACCCUAGUACGAGAGGACCGGGUUGAACAAACCACUGGUGUAGCUGUUGUUCUGCCAAGAGCAUCGCAGCGUAGCUAAGUUUGGAAAGGAUAAACGCUGAAAGCAUCUAAGCGUGAAGCCAACUCUAAGAUGAAUCUUCUCUAAGCUCUCUAGAAGACUACUAGUUUGAUAGGCUGGGUGUGUAAUGGAUGAAAGUCCUUUAGCUGACCAGUACUAAUAGAGCGUUUGGCUUAUCUUUAAUAAAGCAUCACUUCCUUGUUAAGGUUUUUA
rnacentral:rRNA from 1 species